UGAAAAUCCUGUGAAGUAGCAUAGAUUCAUACAGAGUUUCACUAAACACAGGCAAGAUGUUUCAUACCUUCACUGCUGUAUUUCUCUUAGUGAUAAUAAGCGUUACAAUGGCAAGUUAUUGCACACAAUGUACAGCCGAAGGGAAGAAACGUACGGGAAAUUCAAGUUUUCAGAUUGAAGACGGCUGUUGGCACUAUAGUUGCUUUUGUAACUGCGAUGGUAGUUGGAAUUGCCCUACUGAGGAUGCAAGGGAAGUCUGUUGGGGGGAACACUUGUAUUCUACAUGCGGACAUUGUCAAGUAAGAGGAUAUAUGUACAGAGGAGACAGUAAUUUCACAUAUAAAGAUGGCUGUUACCGGUUUUUCUGUACAUGCAACUGUGAUGGAAGUUGGAAUUGUCCGCCUAGACAGAAACACUAUCUUUGCUAUAAUUAAAUGUUUUGUAUUUACAUCUCCUUUCAUUCGUCAUAAUCAAAGUAUUAAAAGCUUACAAGGUCA